UAGGAGGGCAGCUUGGGCCUUUAAGUAAGCGGAAAUGGUACGACCCUACAACUAAACACCAACUAGAACACUGGAAGUUUACGCAGAUAGGUAUCUUCUGCCACGGCAGAAGGUUGAAUUGAAACUGUUACGGCGCAUUUUUGUGACACUUUUGUUCAACCUUUUUAAUUCAACUUUUAAUCAAAUUUGGCGAUAAAAUGGGUGUCCAGUGAUAGCUGAGUUCAAUCUCGAAGUUCAAUCUUUUCAGUUUAAUCUCAUAUUUAAGUUGGCGCCCGAAAUGUACACUUGGUUAAACCGUCUGCCGUAAAGUCACAAAGAGACACAACGUCACUCCAAAGUUGAACAAAAAGUUAAUGUAAAAAUGAGUCCUUAGGGUCCGUUCCGCAUCCGCAAUUCCACAUUGAGUUCCAAAUCCGAAGUCCGAACUUUAGUAGAAAAGCGUUUCGCUUUCGCAUUUUAGGCACUCCUUACAUUGCUUUGUGUGUUGCAAUUGCAAGGGAGGAGCACUAUCUGUAUGUAAACAAACAGAGAUAGCAUGGAAACUGCACUUUUUUAAGGGACCCGGUAAAUCGUGUACGCGUACCGUGUACCGGUAUAUCGUGGAAAACGAUCGCAGAAUGGUUUCGCCCGCAUGUCUAGUUUCUUGCAAAACAGCGAAACCUCUUCAGCGUGUCGGGCUACGUCAAGGCAGGGCAGCAGUUUACUAGAAAUGUCUCAUUGAAUUCUGUUGUCCGUCAGCGAGCUCGGCUUACAGGUAAAAGAAACCGCUACAGCAGCAUCUUCCUUGAGCCGCGCCGUGGCUCAUUUCGCAUCAAAUGCACAGCAUAGGCAUAAAAUGGAUAUUGGAUUGGAGCAACUACGGUUUACAUCCGCGUGUUGGAUUCUGUUGCUUCCAAGUUGCACUGUGCUGCCUUAUGUUUCACUCUUGAUUCCUGUACAAUUUCAUUCAUGUUUAUUCUCAACUCCACAUACAAAUUACACGGAGGAAAAAAUCA